rnacentral:rRNA from 1 species
AAUAGAUACCCCGGUAGUCCACGCCGUAAACGAUGAGUGCUAGAUGUUGGGGAACCUAGUUCUUCAGUGUCACAGCUAACGCGUUAAGCACUCCGCCUGGGGAGUACGGCCGCAAGGCUAAAACUCAAAGGAAUUGACGGGGGCCCGCACAAGCGGUGGAGCAUGUGGUUUAAUUCGACGCAACGCACAGAACCUUACCAGCCCUUGACAUGGGGGUCGCGGAUUUCAGAGAUGAGAUCCUUCAGUUCGGCUGGACCCCACACAGGUGCUGCAUGGCUGUCGUCAGCUCGUGUCGUGAGAUGCUGGGUUAAGUCCCGCAACGAGCGCAACCCUCGUCCUUAGUUGCCAUCGGUUCGGCCGGGCACUCUAAGGAAACUGCCGGUGAUAAGCUGGAGGAAGGUGGGGAUGGCGUCAAGUCCUCAUGGCCCUUACGGGCUGGGCUACACACGUGCUACAAUGGCGGUGACAGUGGGAAGCGAAGGGGCGACCCGGAGCUAAUCCCCAAAAGCCGUCUCAGUUCGGAUUGUUCU